AGCCCAGCAGCUAGCCCACAAUACCACCCCCAACAAACAACUAUUAAUACCCCUUAAUGACCUUAAGAUAAGACAAACCAAACCAUUUUUCCCCCUUAGUAUGGGCGACAGAAAAG
rnacentral:rRNA from 1 species